CGUAAAGAGCAUGUAGGCUGAUUAGUAAGUUGGAAGUGAAAUCCUAUGGCUCAACCAUAGAACUGCUCCAAACUGUUAUCUAGAGUAUGGGAGAGGUAGAUGGAAUUCUGGUGUAGGGGUAAAAUCCGUAGAGAUCAGAAGGAAUACCGAUUGCGAAGGCGAUCUACUGGAACAUUACUGACGCUGAGAUGCGAAAGCGUGGGGAGCAAACAGGAUUAGAUACCCUGGUAGUCCACGCCCUAAACGAUGCACACUAGUUGUUGCUAUGCUAGACAUAGCAGUAAUGCAGUUAACACAGUAAGUGUGCCGCCUGGGGAGUACGGUCGCAAGAUUAAAACUCAAAGGAAUAGACGGGGACCCGCACAAGCGGUGGAGCAUGUGGUUUAAUUCGACGAUACGCGAAGAACCUUACCCGGCCUUGACAUAGUAAGAAUCUAAUAGAGAUAUAAGAGUGCUAGUUUACUAGAGCUUACAUACAGGUGCUGCACGGCUGUCGUCAGCUCGUGUCGUGAGAUGUUGGGUUAAGUCCCGCAACGAGCGCAACCCUCGUGUUUAGUUACUAACAGUUCGGCUGAGGACUCUAGACAGACUGCCUGGGUAACCAGGAGGAAGGUGUGGACGACGUCAAGUCAUCAUGGCCCUUACGUCCAGGGCUACACACGUGCUACAAUGGGGUAUACAAAGAGCCGCGAUACCGUGAGGUGGAGCAAAUCUCAUAAAAUAUCUCCCAGUUCGGAUAGAAGUCUGCAACUCGACUUCAUGAAGUUGGAAUCGCUAGUAAUCGUGGAUCAGCAAUGCUACGGUGAAUACGUUCCCGGGUCUUGUACUCACCGCCCGUCACACCAUGGGAGUUGAUUUCAUUCGAAGCGGGGAUGCUAAAAUAGCUACCUUCCACAGUGGAAUUAGUAACUAGGGUGAAGUCGUAACAAGGUAACC
rnacentral:rRNA from 1 species